rnacentral:rRNA from 1 species
GAUUAACGCUAGCGGCAGGCCUAAUACAUGCAAGUCGCACGGGAUUCAGGGUAGCAAUAUCUUGAUGAGAGUGGCGCACGGGUGCGUAACACGUAUGCAAUCUACCUUUAACUGGGGAAUAGCUCACCGAAAGGUGAAUUAAUACCGCAUAAAAUCAUAGAAGGACAUCCUUCAAUGAUUAAACCGUACGGGGGUUAAAGAUGAGCAUGCGUCCGAUUAGCUAGNGGCGGGUAACAGCCCACCAAGGCAACGAUCGGUA